rnacentral:rRNA from 1 species
GACGAACGCUGGCGGCGUGCUUAACACAUGCAAGUCGAACGGAAAGGCCCUGCUUUUGUGGGGUGCUCGAGUGGCGAACGGGUGAGUAACACGUGAGUAACCUGCCCUUGACUUUGGGAUAACUUCAGGAAACUGGGGCUAAUACCGGAUAGGAGCUCCUGCUGCAUGGUGGGGGUUGGAAAGUUUCGGCGGUUGGGGAUGGACUCGCGGCUUAUCAGCUUGUUGGUGGGGUAGUGGCUUACCAAGGCUUUGACGGGUAGCCGGCCUGAGAGGGUGACCGGCCACAAUGGUACUGAGGGAGGGCCCAGACUCCUACGGGAGGCAGCAGUGGGAAAUAUUGCACAAUGGGCGGGAGCCUGAUGCAGCAACGCCGCGUGCGGGAUGACGGCCUUCGGGUUGUAAACCGCUUUCGCCUGUGACGAAGCGUGAGUGACGGUAAUGGGUAAAGAAGCACCGGCUAACUACGUG